rnacentral:rRNA from 1 species
GGCUAACUCCGUGCCAGCAGCCGCGGUAAUACGGAGGGUGCGAGCGUUAAUCGGAAUUACUGGGCGUAAAGCGCAUGCAGGUGGUUUGUUUAAGUUCAGAUGUGAAAGACCCGGGGCGUCAACCUCGGAAUAGCAUUUGUAAACUAGGCAGACUAGAGUACUGUAGAGGGGGGUAGGAAUUUCAGGUGUAGCGGUGAAAUAGCGUAGAGAUCUGAAGGAAUACCGGUGGCGAAGGCGGCCCCCUCGGACAGAUACUGACACUCAGAUGCGAAAGCGUGGGGAGCAAACAGGAUUAGAUACCCCUGGUAG